GCAGAGGCAGGAGAUGGCUGUAGCCGCGCUCCAGAGGGUCACUGACCAGAUGAACAAGGCCCAGGACAGGGCUCACAGCCUGGAGGGAGUGAUAGGACAGGAGGCCCCUGAAGAGCCAGCUGCUGCAGCACCAACACACUGAGGCUGAGCUCCAUCUCAACAUCAGCCUUCUAGAGCACAACCUGCACACCUGCAGGACACAUGGAAGACAGAAUCAGGAAGACACCAAGAAACAGCAGGAGAUUGUCAAAGGACGGCAACAGGACUCCAUAGAGAUGCUGUUGUCCCUGGUUUAUCCUGCUGUCUCCGUUCCUGGUAGUCACUUGGCAGCCAUUUUGACGUUGUUAUUGGACGAUAUCCCCACAAGAAGGAAACAGCUGUGGGACCUUUACCAAGUACUACAAGAACGCACAGAGAAGUGUCUCUAUGACAUUACCUCAGCAUUGCUAUAGGCCCAUAUGACAAAACCUGGGAACUGGAAAAAACUCUGAAGAACUUGCUCUCAGGGUUUUGGGAAAUAUGUUUAUUGCAUUUUACUUUUAAAUGUUUUCUGUAUAGCUCAGUCAACAUUAUAGCGAAGGAUAUUUAUCAUCCAUUGAAAAUGUAAUCUUGAAGUAAAUUUGUAUUUAUAAUGCAUUUUAUGGUUACUGCAUCAUGUUCAUGCAUACGCGUUUCAUCCUUUUAUAAUAAUCAAAUACAUAUGGUGUCAGUAUAUUUGACACACAACCACUGUAAUAACUAGACAGUAAAACUGACAUAAAAUACCAGUGAAUAAAACACUUGCAGGUAUAACUUUGUCAAUUUGAAUUAAACCCUUUUUCAUUACUGAAUACA